rnacentral:rRNA from 1 species
UACGGAGGGUGCAAACGUUGCUCGGAAUCAUUGGGCGUAAAGCGCACGUAGGCGGCUCGUUAAGUCGGAUGUGAAAGCCCUCGGCUCAACCGAGGAAGUGCAUACGAAACUGGCGAGCUUGAAUAUGGAAGAGGGUCGCGGAAUUCCCGGUGUAGAGGUGAAAUGCGUAGAUAUCUGGAGGAACACCGGUGGCGAAGGCGGCAUCCUGGACCAAUAUUGACGCUGAGGAGCGAAAGCCAGGGGAGCAAACGGG